UGUUUCGAUCUCAGUUAGCUACACGUACACCUACGAAUGGCGAACAAAAUAGCUUGUUUUCUCGGUUAUUUGACCAUACUCAGCACAAUAUUGACAAGACCAAGUCUUUGUGAUCAAUCACUCGGAACUACUCCUUCGUGCACAACUGUCAUUGCAAGCGUUGCUGUUUGUCUACCGUAUAUUACUUCACAGGGAUCUACUUCGCCUUCUAGGCCUUGUUGCGAUGGAAUUAAGCGUGUGGCAACCAUGGCUAACACUCAUGAAAACGCGAUGAGCAUCUGCAAUUGCUUGAAGUCGAAUUUGGCUGAUUUUCAGUACAAUCCUUCUCUUGUUGCUGCACUGCCUAAGAAAUGUUUUGUCAGUAUCAGUCUCCCUCCUAUUUCCAAUGAUACCGAUUGUUCCAACCUAUACUUUCAGCUAGCAAAACCAGCAAACAACUCCAGCCAACAGUCAUUUGCCAUACAGGUUGGAGCCAGGGCUGGUCUCUAGGCUAAGAACCAAUAAUUGGAUCAGCCUGUUACAGCCUUAUGCUGGUCCAACUACUUGAUGGACUAGUCCUGGAUCAGUAUUGGGCUAUUGGCGAUCCAACAAACUCAACACGUUUAACUUCACUUGUUUAGAGUGUGAAUUCAUGUGCAGAUUUUGCAGGUGAUACAAUAAUACAUGCUCAACUGUUCAGAGAUUUCAUCAAUAUAUGAAAGAAAUAAAGCAUUAUUAGAUCUAAGUAGCUAUUUUACUUUAAAAUA